rnacentral:lncRNA from 1 species
UGAGAAAAAUAAGCAGAAGUAAUGAGCAACUAAGUGAUGUCACGGUAGGCUGGGUGUUUGAUUUGUGCCUAGACCUGAAUUAAUUUUUAGAGACAGGGUCUCAGUAUGUUGUCCAGGCUAGAGUGCAGUCACUAUUCACAGGAGCAAUCAUAGCACACUACAGCCUUGAACUCCUGGGCUCAUGCAAUCCUCUUGCCUCAACCUCCCAAGUAGCUGGGAUUACAAGAUGCAUGCCACCAUGCCCGACCCAGAUCUUUAUUUAGUGUGUGUGUGUGUGUGUGUGUGUGUGUGUGUGUGUGCGCGUGUGUGUGUAUGGGGUCUUGCUGUGUUGCCCAGGCUGGUCUUGAAUUCAGGCAUCAAGUGAUCCUCCCUUCAGCUUCCCAAAGUGCUGAGACUACAAGUGUGAGGCACUGCACUUGGCCCUCAUGUCUUAAUUUAUAAAGGUGACUGGUGACAACAUGGGGGACAGGCUAAUGCCACUGAAAGAAGAAUUUAUUACUAACAGUUCCUGAGAGAAGGGGACAUGCCACCAUGCAGAGCCACAUGGGGAAGCACUAGGUUUUGUCGGGAGAGAGAAACAGAAAGGAGGGGAGAGACUUUAUCAUGUUUUCCAAGGCAAGGCAAGGCAGGGAAGACUAAACAGCUUAGCAUUGUUUAGUUUGAAUAAUGUCAAUGAGCUCUGAGCUACAGGGGUGGUCUCUAGUUGUCUAGAACCUGGCCCUGGGCUGGUUUAGGGAGUGGAAAAUAUUUGCCUGGUGUCCGAGAGUUAGAGAAAGAAGGUGGUUGGGGAUUUGGAUUGGUUGAAGUGUUUGUUUGUUUGUUAGAGAGAGGGUCUUGCUGUGUUGUCCAGGCUGGUCUUGAACCCUUGGUUUUAAAUGAUCUCAAGUUAAUCCUCCUGCCUCAGCCUCCCAAAGUGUUAGUAUCACAGGUGUGAGCCCCCACACCUGGCCUGGGUGGAGGGUUUGUUAUGUAAUUUGUGUGUGUGUGUGUCUGUGUGUGUCUGUGAAAGCGGAUUACAGAGAAGAUGUAAACCACUUUGUUUGGCCCUGUGAUUAAUGGAUGCCAAAUAGAUAAAAACACAAUCUAAGAAAACACAGAACAGUAUUAUGGGAAGGCCUUUCUGAGGAGCAACAUUUAAGCAGAGACCUAGAAGCUAUAAAGGAGCCAGCCAUGCAAAUAGCCUGGAGUAGGAGAUACAAGUAGAGGGAACAGCAAUUGCAGAAGCCCUAGGACAGAAUGGAGCUGGAGAGGUGGCAAAGGACAGAUCACACAGGCCUUAUGGGCUUCCCAGCUAUGAAGAUUUUUGCCAAGGGAGUGAUAUAAUCAGGUUUGUAUUUUUCUUCUUCUUCCUUUUUUUUUUUUUUUUGAGACAGGGUCUUUCUUUGUCACCCAGGUUGGAGUGCACAGCCCAAUCUUGGCUCACUGCAACCUCCGCCUCCUAGGCUCAGGUGAUCCUCCCACCUCAGCCUCCCAAGUAGCUGGGACUACAGCUGUGAGCCACAACACCUGGCUAAUUUUUGUAUUUUUUGUAGAGACAAGGUUUCACUAUAUUGCCCAGGCUGGUCUCAAACUGCUGAACUCAAGCAGCCCACCCGCUUCGGCCCCCCAAAAUGCUGCGAUUACAGGCAUGAGCCACUAUGCCUAGCCCAGAUUUAUAUUUUUAUUUAUUUCUCUUUUUUACCUGAGACUUAAUCAGGUUUAUAUUUUUAAAGUAUCAUAGCUUACUUUGGCCAAGAGAGUAGAUGGAUGUAGGGUUGGAGGAUAAGACUGGAAGCUGGAGAGCAGUUAGAAGACUGUGACAGUUCAUGAAAAGUAGUUGCUUCUCUUGUGCCAUCAGCAAGAUGUAGGUUUUGAGUGUUUUUUUUUUUUUCAGGCAAUGGUCACAGACUUGCAUUAAUUCCCAUCCAUUGUAACAUAGUUGUCUAAAAGGUACUGAACAGUUUUUUUUUUUGAACAAAUGUUAUAUCCUUCCGUUGACAUCUUUGAUUCUGUGUUACACCAGCUGAAUGAAUCACUGCCUUCAAACUUUGAAAAUGCAAUAAAUGCAUCAAUUCAAUGCAAUAAAUAUUUUUGAGCACCUGACAUGUGUAAGGCCCUGUGUUAAGUUUUGGAUAUUCGGGCCGGGCACGGUGGCUCACGCCUGUAAUCCCAGCACUUUGGGAGGCCAAGCGGGUGGCUCACCUGAGGUCAGGAGCUCGAGACCAGCCUGGUCAACAUGGCGAAACCUUGUCUCUACUAAAAAUACAAAAAUUAGCUGGGCAUGGUGGCGUAUGCCUGUAGUCCCAGCUACUCAGGAGGCUAUUAGUUUAGCCUGUGCAGUCUAACCCUGGCGAAUAGGGGAAUGACGCAGCAGCAGGGGCCACAUGCGUCAGGGAUAAGAACCCCUUCCCCUCCCUUGUCCAAGUUACCUGGGAUACCAGAAGAGCUAGACCAAGUCAGGUGGGUCACUCGAGCCCAGGAGUUUGAGACCAGCCUGACCAAAAUGGCGAAACCUCCUCUCUACUAAAAAUACAAAAAAAUUAGCCGGGCAUG